rnacentral:tRNA from 1 species
GCCCAUGUGGCGGAAUGGUAGACGCGCUUGAUUUAGGAUCAAGUACCUUUCGGUGUGGAGGUUCAAAUCCUCUUAUGGGCA